rnacentral:tRNA from 1 species
GGAGAAGAACCUGGCUCAAUGGUGGAACAUCUGCCUGGCACGCAGAAGGGGACAGGUUCAAUAUCCGGCAUCUCCA